rnacentral:ncRNA from 1 species
GACAAGGAAGGACGUAGUAAUCGACGAAAUGCUUCAGGGAGUUGAAAAUAAGCAUAGAUUCGGAGAUUCCCGAAUAGGGCAACUUUUCGAACUGCUGCUAAAUCCAUGGGCAGGCAAAAGACAACCUGGCGAACUGAAACAUAAGGUAGUCAGAGGAAAAGAAAGCAAAAGCAAUUCCCAUAGUAGCGGCGAGCGAAACGGGAGCAGCAUAAACCGUGAAAACGGGGUUGUGGGAGAGCAAUACAAGUGUCGUGCUGCUAGGCAAAAGUCCAGUAGCCGAAAGCAUCACUAGCUUACGCUCUGACCAGAGUAUGGUCAAGAAUUGACAGAAGAACAUGGUAACCAAUAUCAAGGAGAAGUCC